UAGGGAAUCUUCCGCAAUGGGCGAAAGCCUGACGGAGCAACGCCGCGUGAGUGAUGAAGUUCUUCGGAUCGUAAAACUCUGUUAUUAGGGAAGAACAAAUGUUUAAGUAACUAUGCACGUCUUGACGGUACCUAAUCAGAAAGCCACGGCUAACUACGUGCCAGCAGCCGCGGUUAUACGUUGGUGGCAAGCCUUAUCCGGAAUUAUUGGGUGUAAAGCGGGAGUAGGCGGUUUUUUAAGUAUGAUGUGAAAGCCCACGGCUCAACCGGGGAGGGUCAUUGGUAACUUGAAAACUUGAGUGCAGAAGAGGAAAGUGGAAUUCCAUGUGUAGCGGUAAAAUGCGCAGAGAUAUGGAGGAACCCCAGUGGCGAAGACGGCUUUCUGGUCUGUAACUGCCGCUGAUGAGCGAAAGCGUGGGGAUCAAAAAGG
rnacentral:rRNA from 1 species